rnacentral:rRNA from 1 species
GGAACGACUGCUAAUACCGGAUGUGCCGAGAGGUAAAAGGCUUGCUGCCUGAAGAUGAGCUCGCGUCUGAUUAGCUAGUUGGUGUGGUAAGAGCGCACCAAGGCGACGAUCAGUAGCUGGUCUGAGAGGAUGAUCAGCCACACUGGGACUGAGACACGGCCCAGACUCCUACGGGAGGCAGCAGUGGGGAAUUUUCCGCAAUGGGCGAAAGCCUGACGGAGCAAUACCGCGUGAGGGAGGAAGGCUCUUGGGUUGUAAACCUCUUUUCUCAAGGAAUAACAAAAUGAAGGUACUUGAGGAAUAAGCAUCGGCUAACUCCGUGCCAGCAGCCGCGGUAAUACGGAGGAUGCAAGCGUUAUCCGGAAUGAUUGGGCGUAAAGGGUCCGCAGGUGGCAGUGUAAGUCUGCUGUUAAAGAAUGAGGCUCAACCUCAUCAAGGCAGUGGAAACUACACAGCUAGAGUACGGUCGGGGUAGAAGGAAUUCCUGGUGUAGCGGUGAAAUGCGUAGAGAUCAGGAAGAACACCGGUGGCGAAAGCGUUCUGCUAGGCCUGUACUGACACUGAGGGACGAAAGCUAGGGGAGCGAAUGGGAUUAGAU